UUAAAUCUUGCCGUUAUAUUUAGUUACAAAAUUUAUGUUCUAGCAGGACAUAGCCGUUAUGCGCGAAGCGGUGUAGCGUCACUUUGAUGGCGGUACUAUGAAUUGAUGCAAGGUGUGGAGCGACCUUAAACAGUUCUGGUGGUGCUCUGAAUGGAGUGCUCUACUGAGAUUAUAAAAUAGAAGGUAAGCUAUUAUCUCUUACAACAGGGCAGGGCUUGUUGGAAUAGGCGGUAAAGUCUAUGGUAGAGUAGU
rnacentral:ncRNA from 1 species